UGAGGAUGGCACAGGCCAGCUGUGGGAAGCUGGAUGUUUGCAUAUCUGAACUGAUUCUCAUGUUAAGUAUAGCAAUCCUUAGGUAUUGCUAAAGAACACUUAGAGACCAGGGUCUGCUGCAAUCCUUUUGUUAAGAAAAUAGGUGUUAGUCGACAGAUUACCUAUCUGAUAACUCUCACAGGCCAGUUGUGAAGAACAGGGUAAGAAUUCAGAUCUCUGGGUGUGAAUCUCUCUAUUGUUUGUACCAUGAGCCAUCGUACACCAUUGCCCGUAGAGGUCAUCCAAAGGACAUAACUUCCUGAAGCUGAGCCUUGCAGCAUGGCCUUGCCUGCCUGUGCCUGAUGAUGGAUUUAAGUCUUUGUUCACCUGAAAUCAGAGUAUUUUUGCUCUGGUUUCCUAUUUGACAUUUUAUCUUCCAAUUAAUUAUAAACAAGCAUGACUCUCUGUGAAUAAUGAGAAAGGAAACAUUUUUCCUUUACCAUUACAGCAUACACAGCAUAUUUAAGAUUUCUCAUUCCAGGAACUGAUGAUAAGAGAAUAAUUUCAAAAUGAGGUAAUUCUUACCAAAACAGCCAUAUGAAGAGAGAAAAGCCACACGUCCUUGACAAUAGACUGAGUUGGUGACCAGACGGUACAAAAUGUCUGUUCAUGUCACUCAGUCACUUUCAUGUGACUGAGACACCUUGACUGUGCCUCUGUUCAUUGGUCUGCAGAGCAUGUAUUUUAUCCAAGAACAGUUUACUCAAGGAAAAAUCUUUUUAGCAAAAGAUGAGCCAUGCUUUGGCUAGAUCCACCCUUGGAUAUGAAGAAAGUAAAUUGUUUUGUUGUUGUUGUUGUUGUUUUUGUUUUCCCACAAGAGAACUUUCUGUAGCCUCUGCUCUAUGCACUAUCUAACUGUACCUUGACAUAUCUGUUAUAUAAAGCUACCUCUGAGGACCGUCUAU
rnacentral:lncRNA from 1 species